UGAACACCCCACACACGCUACAACCCCUUCCAGCAGCCCCACGCCCGCCAUGCCGCCCCUCAGCCAGGCAGGCCCUGGGCGCUCACUGCGCGUGCGCGGCGCUCAGCCGCCAUUUUGGGCGCCGCCUCAGCGGCCCGCCCAGGGGCCGUCCCUCGGCCGAGGCGGCGCCCGGGGAAAUGCCGCAGCCCCCGGGCUGUGUUCGUGUUCCGUGUCCCGGCACCCCGCGGUGGGGCUGCGGGAGGUGCUUGUCCUGCGCCUCUCAGGCUAGCGGCUGCGGGUGGUGCUUGCUGGUCUCCUUCCCCGGCAGCUGGUGCGCGCCGGCAGGCUCCUGUGCCUGGUGGCUCUAAAGUGAUAUCUACAGAAAGUUCUCUGUUUCUCAGUACAGAUGAUAAACACCUGCUUAUCAAAAUAGUGCAAACAGGAACAAAGAAAAGUGCUGUCAACGUAAGUAAACCGCAGGGAAAAACGCAGCUGAAUGUUAUGACCUUGCAAUGUUGCUUUAGAGAAAUCAGUAGUACGCUUUUUCAGCAUGUCAGACCAACUGUAUUCCUAUUUACCAUACCACACCAUCACUAGAUGGGGAAUGGAUUUGGUCUUUUGCACAUACUCCUUCAUAAAAGUAAUUGUGUCUGUUCUGACUUUCGUACUGCACAUUUAAGAAGUCUAACGACUUUUGAAAGUCAAAUCAUGAGAAUAACAUUUGCAAUGCUGUCUUCCCUUUUUCCCUUUAGAACUUUCUUCGGAGUGCAUAGAAAAGGCCACAGUGACACAUUCCAUACAAAAAUCAAGUUUUAAGUUUUAUGUAAAAUACUCAAGUAUUUUUAGCAUUUACAUACGCAUCUUAAUUUACCAUACAUUCUUUCUCACUCCUUCCUUAUAUCUUUAUCUUAUUUUUUGGACAGACAACAGAUAUUUCACCUUAUAUAGUUAAGCAUUUAACCCUAGUAUAAACAAGAGCAUUACUGGAGGUACAAUGUCAGGAGCAUCUCUUUACAGAACAUGGAACACCAUCACUGCAAACUCCUGUCCUCAGGUGUCACAGUGCAAGAGAUCAUAAAAUGGAGGUCUUUUCCCUGUUUUAUCCACAAGAAAAUCACUCAGGUCUAAUUUCAGAGUAGUUUGAAGACAAGCUAGAGUGUGAUAGAUCUUCCUCUAAAUACUACUCUAGGUAAGGUUUUCUCAAUGUUUGUCUUAAUUAAUGUUUAGGUCUAGAUACUGAUUUUCAAUGUAAACGUUUCUGCUAUUUGUGCUUUUAAAACUUUGUGAAAGAAGUAGU